AUGUUCAAACAUCGCAUUCCAGUGGAGAGAGUCAACGCCCUGCAGAUAGGAGGCGACGUUUCCAUCCAGACCAUCAACGUCAUCGGGGGAGGAGGAGGAAUGGGAGGUGGAUAUCCUACAGGUGGAAUGGGAGGAGGCAACAUGGCGGUACGUAUAUAUAUAUAUAUUUAUAUCGUAUAUGUAUUGAACCCACUAUAUUGGCGUUGUGUCAUGAUCUACCAACUAAGCCAUACAAGACCACUGGAGGGCUUAGCACUGAAUGUUGUGGGGUGACUACAUAGCGAUAUAUCCUCAUGAAUGUUGUGGGGUGACUACAUAGCGAUAUAUCCUCAUGAAUGUUGUUGGGUGACUGUACAUAGAGAUAUAUCCUCAUGAAUGUUGUAGGGUGACUGUACAUAGCGAUAUAUCCUCAUGAAUGUUGUGGGGUGACUGUACAUAGCGAUAUAUCCUCAUGAAUGUUGUGGGGUGACUGUACAUAGAGAUAUAUCCUCAUGAAUGUUGUGGGGUGACUGCAUAGUGAUAUAUCCUCAUGAAUGUUGUGGGGUGACUACAUAGCGAUAUAUCCUCAUGAAUGUUGUGGGGUGACUACAUAGCGAUAUAUCCUCAUGAAUGUUGUGGGGUGACUGUACAUAGCGAUAUAUCCUCAUGAAUGUUGUGGGGUGACUGUACAUAGCGAUAUAUCCUCAUGAAUGUUGUGGGGUGACUGUACAUAGCGAUAUAUCCUCAUGAAUGUUGUGGGGUGACUGUACAUAGCGAUAUAUCCUCAUGAACGUUGUGGGGUGACUGUACAUAGCGAUAUAUCCUCAUGAAUGUUGUGGGGUGACUAUACAUAGUGAUAUAUCCUCAUGAAUGUUGUGGGGUAACUGUACAUAGUGAUAUAUCCUCAUGAAUGGUGUGGGGUGACUGUACAUAGAGAUAUAUCCUCAUGAAUGUUGUGGGGUGACUGUACAUAGUGAUAUAUCCUCAUGAAUGUUGUGGGGUAACUGUACAUAGUGAUAUAUCCUCAUGAAUGGUGUGGGGUGACUGUACAUAGAGAUAUAUCCUCAUGAAUGUUGUGGGGUGACUGUACAUAGCGAUAUAUCCUCAUGAAUGGUGUGGGGUGACUGUACAUAGAGAUAUAUCCUCAUGAAUGUUGGUAACUGUACAUAGCGAUAUAUCCUCAUGAAUGUGUUUCUUAGCGUGUCGUAAACUCUGGAUGACAUUUGAUAUGUUUCCCACCGUCAACAGGGAGGAUAUCCUGCUGGAGGAUACCCAGGUGAUCAAAUGGGGGUGAGUUGGUACCACACUUGGUGACGUUCAUGUGUCUGUGUCAUCAAAUACCAUUACAUAUAUUUAUACUGUAUGUCUGUCGAUGCUUAUCAGGGUGGAGGAUACCCACAGGGUGGAGGAUACCCACAGGGUGGAGGAUACCCACAGGGUGGAGGAUACCCACAGGGUGGAGGAUACCCAGGUGACAUGGGGGUCAGUACUGUCACCUGUUAUAACAGUGGGUCUUAAUGCUUUGAAUGUGGGAUAAUUUUCUUCAGUAGAUAGUUCUGCAUCAGUUAGUAAAUACAUGACUUAACGUAACACUUAUGGCUGACAGCUGUAUUCUGGUGUGUGUGAUGUGUUGUCUGUGUGUGUGUGUGUGUGUGUGUGUGUGUGUGUGUGUGUGUGUGUGUGUGUGUGUGUGUGUGUGUGUGUGAUGUCUGUGUGUGUGUGUGUGUGUGUGUGAUGUCUGUGUGUGUGUGUGUGUGUGUGUGUGUGUAUGUGUAUGUGUGUGUGUAUGUGUGUGUGUGUGUGUGUGUGUGUGUGAUGUCUGUGUGUAUGUGUGUGUGAUGUCUGUGUGUAUGUGUGUGUGUGUGUG
rnacentral:lncRNA from 8 species